AGUAACGGCGAGUGAAGCGGCAACAGCUCAAAUUUGAAAUCUGGUCCCCAGGGCCCGAGUUGUAAUUUGCAGAGGAUGCUUUUGGUGAGGUGCCUUCCGAGUUCCCUGGAACGGGACGCCAUAGAGGGUGAGAGCCCCGUCUGGUUGGAUACCGAGCCUCUGUAAAGCUCCUUCGACGAGUCGAGUAGUUUGGGAAUGCUGCUCUAAAUGGGAGGUAUAUGUCUUCUAAAGCUAAAUAUUGGCCAGAGACCGAUAGCGCACAAGUAGAGUGAUCGAAAGAUGAAAAGCACUUUGAAAAGAGGGUUAAAUAGUACGUGAAAUUGUUGAAAGGGAAGCACUUAUGACCAGACUUGGCCCCGGUGAAUCAUCCAGCGGUUCCCGCUGGUGCACUUUGCCGGGGUUCAGGCCAGCAUCAGUUCGCUCCGGGGGAUAAAGGCUUUGGGAAUGUGGCUCCCUCGGGAGUGUUAUAGCCCAUUGCGUAAUACCCUGUGGCGGGCUGAGGUUCGCGCUUUAUGCAAGGAUGCUGGCAUAAUGGUCAUCAGUGACCCGUCUUGAAACACGGACCAAGGAGUCGUCUUCGUAUGCGAGUGUUCGGGUGUUAAACCCCUACGCGUAAUGAAAGUGAACGCAGGUGAGAGCCCUCCAGGGCGCAUCAUCGACCGAUCCUGAUGUUCUCGGAUGGAUUUGAGUAAGAGCAUACGGGGCCGGACCCGAAAGAAGGUGAACUAUGCCUGUAUAGGGUGAAGCCAGAGGAAACUCUGGUGGAGGCUCGCAGCGGUUCUGACGUGCAAAUCGAUCGUCAAAUAUGGGC
rnacentral:rRNA from 1 species